CCUACGGGUGGCAGCAGUGAGGAAUAUUGGUCAAUGGGCGCGAGCCUGAACCAGCCAAGUCGCGUGAGGGAAGACGGUCCUAUGGAUUGUAAACCUCUUUUGUCGGGGAGCAAAAGUCGCCACGCGUGGCCUUCCGAGAGUAACCGAAGAAAAAGCCUCGGCUAACUCCGGGCCAGCAGGCGCGGUAAUACCGAGGAUGCGAGCGUUAACCGGAUGUAUUGGGGUUAAAGGGUGCGCAGGCGGAAGUUCAAGUCAGCGGUAAAAUUGGGGGGCUCAAACGCGUCGAGCCGUUGAAACUGGGUUUCUUGAGUGGGCGAGAAGUAUGCGGAAUGCGUGGUGUAGCGGUGAAAUGCAUAGAUAUCACGCAGAACUCCGAUUGCGAAGGCAGCAUACCGGCGCUCAACUGACGCUGAUGCACGAAAGUGUGGGUAUCGAACAGGAUUAGAUACCCUUGUAGUC
rnacentral:rRNA from 1 species